ensembl:snoRNA
AUGCAGCCGUUUCCAGCGAGGCUGAGCCUGCAGUGGUUCUGUCCUUUCCUAAUCGGUCUGCUAGAGAGAAGAGGGGCCGUUUGAGGCCCUGCGGCGGCUGCUGGCUGCAGGGUUAUAGGUAAACCUCCGACAGAC